rnacentral:lncRNA from 1 species
UUCCUAAGCUAUAGUAAGUGAAUUUAUGAUGUUAACACUUUUGCAAAAACAAAAGUUUUGUUGUUCACCUAAGACAAUUUUGGCGGGGGAGGGGGCAGAGCAUCAUCUACAUUUUUGUUAUGUACGGCUUCCUCAAGUCAGCACCGAAUAACCCAAACAGUUUAAACAUACCCCUUACCAUGAUGCUCUUUUCAUGCCUGACUGAUGAAUCAGUAGACUACCCCAAAGCAGUGUUUCUCCAUUUGUCCGGCCCUGAGUCCAUAGGGGAUCCAUCUGCAUGGAGCUUCCAGCAAUGUGGUUUACCUCCGAGCUGCUCUCGUGGCCACACCUGCAUUAUUUCUGACCCUUUACUGUCUCACAUCCUGUUUUCCUCCCUUCCCUGAUGUCGACAUAUCAUCUGUCCCCAAAAUGAUGUUUGCUUGUUUGUUUUUUCAGGUACUCCAGGCUUAAAGCAAAUAUCACAAUGUGAUCAUCAAUUCUCCAUCAAGGCAACGUUAUCUGUCUCAGCCUCCUGCAUGGGAUACUGUGCUGAGACAGUACACUGAGCCAUGGGUAACAAUGUGGGAUGGUAGAAGGUGAAAAAGCAAUGAAGUAAGUGGUUGCUAUAGUCAUCUGUCCUAAAGGGCUAUGUGAGAGCAUUAUUAUACAACUAACCUGCUGGUAAGAUUUUUCUACUGUAUCCAUCCUUUGAUUGCCAGUGACAUCUCAGUCUUCGUGGAAUUACCAGCUAUCUCUUUUGUUAUUUUUAUGGCCAUAUACAGCAUUAAAUCUCCCUAUUACACUUCCCUAAGAGCCUUGGUUUUGUGUUUUUAAAGCAUGAGCUUUCAAUUGCCUUUACGCUAUCCAUAGAAAUUCCCUUCUACAUGUCACACCCUUGUACUCUGCCUCCCUCUCCCUUUAAAGGAAAUAAAUGAGAACACGUAUUUCCCAGAUAGCUCAGGUUCGUCGUUGUUGACGAUUAGCUGGUAAUGUACAUAAACUGCUCAGUUUCAACCUCCGUGUGAGUGUGAGCUCCUCUAUUCAUCUCUUCAAAUUACAGCCUGUUGCCCUCUCUUACAAGUACGUUCCGAUCCGUUGUGGAUUGGCUCCCCAGUCACCAGGGUACACACUAUGUGUAGACAUAGAUUCAUUACACUGACAGUGAGAAGAGGAAAGAACCUGACAUUUGCUGAGCAUGUGUUGUCUGUCUCCCAUGAGCCCUACAAGGCAUUCCCCCUUUGUUUUAUCUUUCUAGAACCCUAUGCAGUAGAAAUGGUCCUCCUUUAUAUGCAGAGAACUCAAAUGACUGACAGUACAGGGCAGAGACAGUAUUUAAACUCAUCUAUGCCCAGAUACACAGCCCUAGCUCUUUCCCCAGUACUCUGAAGCCAUGGAUCUCUUCCACAUUUAGGGUUGUAAUUCCAGUGUUUUAUUUUUGUUUGUUUUCAACUUUCAUUCCUUAUCAAAUCAGUCCCUUCCUCCUCAUCUUCUCAAUCCUACGGUCGUACCCCGCCAUCCUUCAAGAGGUGUGAUGCCUUCUGUUUUUCCUGUUGGGUGCCUUGGUGACUACUAAUUCUGAACAAUAAUGUAUUUCUUUCAAUUUUAAUGAAAGUAUUGUUAAGCUUUGAAUCUGAUGUGGCCCUUGGAGACUUAAGUGUUAAAGACUGGCUGACAGCUGAUGGGGGUUUGGGAAGUAACAAUUGUGUCCCAAGGAACCUGACCUAAGUAGUGUUUGAACUGAUUGCUGAAAUCAUAAUUGAUUACUGGAAAGGGUAGGAGCUGAGGGCUGGUUCUGACUGUGCUGCUGAGGGACCUUUGAAGUGUGUGCCUGCCCCUGAACUCUUCCUCUGCCUAACCUUCAUCCUAACCAUCUGAGGCAAUCAGACAUUCCUCCUAUUCUGAUAUUGUACAGUGGGUCUCAAUCUGUGACUUCUUUUGGGUGGUCGCUUAUCAGAUGGUUACAUCCUGAUUCAGAGCCGUAGCAAAUUACAGUUAUAAAGCAGCAAGGAAAAUAAUGUCGUGGUUUGGGACAACAUGAGGAACUUGAUUGCAGCAUUAGAAAUGUGGAGAUCCACUGGACUAAAGCUGAUGAAACCAUGAGCUAAAAUAAAGCUUCAUUUCCUUUCAGCUGCUGUUCUUGUGUGGCCCUGUUUAUGUGGCAUAAAGUCUGACCAAUGCAGGAGCCAUAACGCUCC